AUUGAACGCUGGCGGAAUGCUUUACACAUGCAAGUCGAACGGCAGCACGGGGCAACCUGGUGGCGAGUGGCGAACGGGUGAGUAAUGCAUCGGAACGUGCCAUUGAGUGGGGGAUAACGUAGCGAAAGUUGCGCUAAUACCGCAUAUUCUGUGAGCAGGAAAGCAGGGGACCGCAAGGCCUUGCGCUCUUUGAGCGGCCGAUGUCAGAUUAGCUAGUUGGUGAGGUAACGGCUUACCAAGGCGACGAUCUGUAGCGGGUCUGAGAGGAUGAUCCGCCACACUGGAACUGAGACACGGUCCAGACUCCUACGGGAGGCAGCAGUGGGGAAUUUUGGACAAUGGGCGCAAGCCUGAUCCAGCCAUGCCGCGUGAGUGAAGAAGGCCU
rnacentral:rRNA from 1 species